AUUGAACGCUGGCGGCAGGCCUAACACAUGCAAGUCUAACGAGUGGCGGACGGGUGAGUAAUGUCGGGGAAACUGCCUGAUGGAGGGGGAUAACUACUGGACACGGUAGCUAAUACCGCAUACCAUCAGAUGUGCCCAGAUGGGAUUAGAUAGAUGGGGGGGUAACGGCUCACCAAGGCGACGAUCCCUAUCUGGUCUGAGAGGAUGACCAGCCACACUGGAACUGAGACACGGGCCAGACUCCUACGGGAGUAAGCAGUGGGGAAGAUUGCAGAAUUGGCGCAAGCAUGAUGCAGCCAUGCCGCGUGUAGGAAGAAGGCCUGCGGGUUGUAAAGUACUUUCAGCGGGGAGGCGUUACCCGCAGAAGAAGCACCGGCUAACGCCGUGCCAGCAGCCGCGGUAAUAC
rnacentral:rRNA from 1 species